rnacentral:rRNA from 1 species
GAGGAACGCUGGCGGCGUGCUUAACACAUGCAAGUCGAACGGAAAGGCCGAAGCUUGCUUCGGUACUCGAGUGGCGAACGGGUGAGUAACACGUGGGUGAUCUGCCCUGUACUUCGGGAUAAGCUUGGGAAACUGGGUCUAAUACCGGAUAUGACGAUCUCUUGGAUGGGGUUGUGGAAAGCUUUUGCGGUAUGGGAUGAGCUCGCGGCCUAUCAGCUUGUUGGUGGGGUAAUGGCCUACCAAGGCGUCGACGGGUAGCCGGCCUGAGAGGGUGUACGGCCACAUUGGGACUGAGAUACGGCCCAGACUCCUACGGGAGGCAGCAGUGGGGAAUAUUGCACAAUGGGCGCAAGCCUGAUGCAGCGACGCCGCGUGGGGGAUGACGGCCUUCGGGUUGUAAACUCCUUUCGCAAUCGACGAAGCCUUUUGGUGACGGUAGGUUGAGAAGAAGCACCGGCUCCCUACGUG